rnacentral:rRNA from 1 species
AUUGAACGCUGGCGGCAGGCCUAACACAUGCAAGUCGAGCGGAGAGGCGGACGGGUGAGUAAUGCCUAGGACUCUGCCUGGUAGUGGGGGAUAACGUCCGGAAACGGGCGCUAAUACCACAUACUAUCAGAUGAGCCUAGGUCGGAUUAGCUAGUUGGUGGGGUAAAGGCCUACCAAGGCGAAGCACCGUAACUGGUCUGAGAGGAGGAUCAGUCAAACGGGAACUGUGACACGGUCCAAACUCAUCGGGGAGGCAGAAGUGGGGAAUAUUGGACAAUGGGCGAAAGCCUGAUCCAGCCAGGCCGCGUGUGUGAAGAAGGUCUUCGGAUUGUAAAGCACUUUAAGUUGGGAGGCGUUACCAACAGAAUAAGCACCGGCUAACUUCGUGCCAGCAGCCGCGGUAAUAC